CGGACGGGUGAGUAACGCGUGAAAAUCUGCCCUUAAGUCGGGGAUAACAGUUGGAAACGACUGCUAAUACCGGAUGAGCCGAAAGGUGAAAGAUUUAUUGCUUAAGGAUGAGUUCGCGUCUGAUUAGCUAGUUGGUAGAGUAAGAGCCUACCAAGGCAACGAUCAGUAGCUGGUCUGAGAGGAUGAGCAGCCACACUGGGACUGAGACACGGCCCAGACUCCUACGGGAGGCAGCAGUGGGGAAUUUUCCGCAAUGGGCGAAAGCCUGACGGAGCAAGACCGCGUGAGGGAGGAAGGCCUUUGGGUUGUAAACCUCUUUUCUCAAGGAAGAAGCAAGUGACGGUACUUGAGGAAGAAGCCUCGGCUAACUCCGUGCCAGCAGCCGCGGUAAUACGGAGGAGGCAAGCGUUAUCCGGAAUUAUUGGGCGUAAAGCGUCCGUAGGUGGCUUUUCAAGUCUGCUGUUAAAGACCGAGGCUUAACUUCGGAAAGGCAGUGGAAACGGGGAAGCUAGAGGACAGUAGGGGUAGCAGGAAUUCCCAGUGUAGCGGUGAAAUGCGUAGAGAUUGGGAAGAACAUCGGUGGCGAAAGCGUGCUACUGGGCUGAACCUGACACUGAGGGACGAAAGCUAGGGGAGCGAAUGGGAUUAGAUACCCCAGUAGUC
rnacentral:rRNA from 1 species